rnacentral:sRNA from 1 species
AACACCCACAAACAACGUCACGACGCAACGUGGUUAAACAGUACGUUUAUUAAAGUAACUGGGUGAACGACACCGGAGCGGACUGAAAAUCGCAACGCUACUUUCUCGAGUGCAGAUACUCUUCGAGACGGCUAAACAACGUGUCCAACUCGCUGAGACCUUUCCGCGUGCCGUUAUCCGAUUUCCUUUCCGCCUCCUGAGACAGUCGACUAAUCACGGACUUAUCUCCGCAACCUAACAGAGGCUGGGAGCCCGACAAAAGUAAAACAGCGUGCUAUGAACACGUUGUUACCUCUGCGCGGACAGCGCCGCCACAGAGACACUUACGCAUUGCCGCAUGUCUUUGUAGAUGGAUUCUAGCGUCGAGCGCAUACUAUGCAAUUCCGUCUUGAGUCCGGGAUAGACGUGGUCGCCUGCGGGAAACACGAUCUCCAGAUACCGCCUCAACAACCAGUCCAUGACGCUGCAUCCCCAACAGCCUUUGACCACCGUACCGUCGAGCCACACGGAGUAGUCGUCCUCACGUUGCUACAAGAGGAAAACUACGUCACCCGACACGCGGAAAAGAAAGACCGUCGCAAUAAACCGUACCUACGUGACCUACCAACGUAGGUUUUACUCGAUGAAAGGUGACGCGGAGAUCUUGCAAUCUGGUCGCGUAAUCCUCUGGACGACACCGCGGCUUUGUAUUCUUUAUCGUCGUCGUCGCCGACUUCGCCUCCUCGGAAGCGCCUAGAAAAAAGACGAUCAGAACCAGAGAGGAAGAGACCAUCACCGACAGCAUCGCCGCAGCAUGCCGCCCCAGUCCGCCGCCCAACUGCGCGUCCCAGGUAGGUGUCGUAGACUGUCAGCCUCGCGAGGAGACACCGCGGACCGGGGAAACGGAUAAGUUUACGAACAGAAAUCUCAAGAGAAAGACGCUGACCCGGCAAGUACCGUCACGGAGACACGGUGGUUUUUAUUGAAUUUCCAGUGUAUCGAGCCACCGUGAUGCAGGUACGGUGGUUUUAUGUGAAGUGCCGCUAUCUAUAGGCGAUGUGUUCCCUGACGGUGUGUGUUUUUUUUGGGGAUAGACAACGUGGUUCUUGUACGUGGUUUUUACCCUGCUCAAUAAAGUCACGUUUUCCUUACACGGUGUUGUGUC